rnacentral:rRNA from 1 species
UACAGAGGGUGCAAGCGUUGUUCGGAAUUAUUGGGCGUAAAGGGCGCGUAGGCGGUGCCACAAGUCACCUGUGAAAUCUCCGGGCUUAACUCGGAGCCUGCAGGCGAAACUGUGGUGCUGGAGUGUGGGAGAGGUGCGUGGAAUUUCCGGUGUAGCGGUGAAAUGCGUAGAUAUCGGAAGGAACACCAGUGGCGAAAGCGGCUUCCUGGUCCAGCACCGACGUCAGGCACGAAAGCGUGGGGAGCAAACAGG